rnacentral:rRNA from 1 species
AUUGAACGCUAGCGGGAGGCUUUACACAUGCAAGUCGAACGAGUGGCGGACGGGUGAGUAAUAUAUCGGAACGUGCCCAGUAGAGGGGGAUAACUACUCGAAAGAGUGGCUAAUACCGCAUAAUAUUGGAGCGACCGAUAUCGGAUUAGCUAGUUGGUGGGGUAAAGGCUCACCAAGGCAACGAUCCGUAGCUGGUUUGAGAGGACGCACAGCCACACUGGGACUGAGACACGGCCCAGACUCCUACGGGAGGCAGCAGUGGGGAAUUUUGGACAAUGGGGGAAACCCUGAUCCAGCCAUCCCGCGUGUAUGAGAAGGCCUGCGGGUUGUAAAGUACUUUUGGCAGAGAAGCGGUACCUGCAGAAUAAGCACCGGCUAACUACGUGCCAGCAGCCGCGGUAAUAC